UCUGGCCGGAAUGAUCACAGAUCACAAAGUCAGAUUAAGAGAGUGAGAAAUGAUAACACCCGAGGCAAAGAAACAAUUCAAAAGUGUGCUUUCCGAAGUGAAGUUUCGAAAAGGAAUACAACACCCUAAAAAUGAGCAUCUUGUAGGGUAACAUUUCUUUUCUGAAAGAUUCAUCCUACCGAUUCCACACAAAGCUGGGUAGACAGACCUAGGACUCUGCCCCAUUUGUAGUCCCUCUCUACUCAAAACUUGUCCCAUCUUGUUUUGUGCAGCUUAUAUCAUAUCAUUCAUCCCAGUUAAUAACACAUAACACAAUCAAUGUCGAUCACACCAAGAGAAGAGAGAAAAUUAAUAACAAAAUGCAACUGUGCAUCUUGUUCACAAAUCACUCUCUCAGUGCAACAAUCAAGACGGUCUUUCCCGAUCUAUUUUUGCUCUAAACAAUUCUGUUAAGGCAUCCCGAGUUUAGAAUAACAAAGAUAUGCUAAGUUUUUAUUAAGGACUCUAUCUAUGUUGCACCGACACUUCAUACCAGUGGAGUGUUAGAGUGUCGGACACUCCCGAUACGCCGAUAUGCCUCGGACACUUCUCGACACGUAUCUGACACGCCACGUUGCGUGUUGAAAAAUGUUGACUUUUUCGACACGUCCCGACACUUUGACCGACACGCCAUGUCACCAUUCGACAAGCCAUAUCAUCAAUUGUUACUUUUAGAAAAAUAAAAAUAAAGAAAAUAAAACCCAAAAACAAAUAGAGCUUCUUCUCUCUUUUUUGCUGCUUCUCUUUAGCCACUGAUAAAUGUGUGUAUUACUGGGAGGGAGGAUUGGAGAAGAAAAAGAAGAGGUGAAGCAAAGAUAAACAGGAUUUUGAGAAGAGAUGAAUUAAGCAGAGAGAAGAUAGAUUAUGGCCAAUGGGGGUUUCUAUUUUUGGAGUUUUAUAUAUGUUUGAGGGAAGUUUUUAGGUUGUGAGAAUUUUUAAUGGGGGAAGAAUUAUGAGGUGUUUAGUAUCAUAAGUAGCUAGUUCAUGUCAUUAGUUAACUGGAGCUGAAACGUCGUGGAGGAGAGUGAACGGUUUUGGUGCUUUAAGUUUAUACUGGGUUUAUUAGAAGACAAAAUUAGGAUCUUUUUGACCAAUAAGUUUAUGAUAUUUCAUAUUUUUGAUAUUUCUUUUUAUGUAUUAAAAUAUAUAAAUAUAUUCAUUAUUUGCCUUAUCCAAGUCGUGUCGGAUCUU
rnacentral:lncRNA from 1 species